ACGGGGGCGGGACCGGGCGGCCUGAGACCUGUUGAUCGCAGGUAUCACCCGCCUGACCGGCUCUCUUGGGACUGAGACGACUGCGCAUGCUCGCUGGCGGCUCUGGGCCAGUAGCCAAGCGGCGGUGACGAACCGGCUCCUCGGUUGCGGUUGUUGCGGUUGCAGCGAUGGCGAUGUGAGUGGGCCCCGGGCGGAAUGGUGCUGACCCGGGUAGGGACGUCUUCUUCCAGCUGGACACCUAGCUCUUCCAUCCAACAGAAGAGAGAAGAGGUGGAGACGGUUGAGAGGUAAGCCCCUCUCCGCUCCGGGUCCUGUCGCUCCCGACACUCACGACCCCUCCCUCGGUCCCUCUUUCCCAGGGGCCAGGCAGGAAGCGGCCUCCUUCUCUUCGUCCCCCCCUCGCCCGCUCCGGCCUCUCUACGGGCUGCUCGCUGUCGGACGCAGCCCCGGGCCGGGUGAAGGUCGGUGGGGACGGCGGUUCUGGGCACUCUCCGGCAAGCCAAGGGGCCGCAGCGCUUAGCUCUGCGGGCACUCCCUGUCGCCCUGCCCCUGCCUUACGUUCCUCUGCCGGUUCUUCCUGAACCUCACGCCUCCUGUGCCCCAGCCUUCUCCUGCCCUUCGCCCCCGGCUCCAUCUUCACCUGUCUAUCUCGCCUUUAUCCCCCAUUCAUGGUUCUUCUCUUUCAUCCCGUGCCCACUUGCCUUUUCGCUCCGGUGGUGUUUGGUCCCGGAGGCAAUGCAUAUUUUUUGCUCCCCUCAGUUUUUUCCCUUUCCUUGUGCAUCCUUGAUCUGCUUCUUUCCUACAGGGAGCUCCUGGCCCUCGCCCACCAGGUUUCUAGCUCUGUUACCUCCGUAAUUUCUAUCUUGACUUUCUUUUCCUUCUUUGGUACUUCUUAUGGUUUGUUGUUCCUGUUGUGUUUUGAGUUUUUUUGCAUCGCUUUACACCAGAGUUCAUUCCAUCCCCCCCCCCCCCCCCCCCCCCCCCCCCCCCCNNNNNNNNNNNNNNUUAUCUUCGGAGGCCCUCAAUUCCUUAGCUCUUUUGGUACCCUACUUCACUGCUAGUUUUGUCCCUGUCCUUCCAUCCUAUUCCAUCCUGGCCCCAUUUCUAGCCUCUAAUCUUGAUUUUUUUUCCCUCUAAAACUCUUUAAUAUUUUUUGUAUAGGUUGAAACUCUUCGUUUAUUUCAGUUUUUGUUAAAUUCUUGAAGAGUUCUAACAUGCCCUUCUAGUCUCUUCUGCAUUUUUCCUAAGCUCAGUAGCUACUCAGUAUUCUUAGUUCAGCUUUCAAGUUAAUGAAAUUUCUUCAUCUUUCUCCUCCAGCUGGAAAUAUCAUCAGAAGAGUACACCUAUUGUCAGACUUACUGAUUGAAGCUUUAAUUUUUAAAAAUUGUUUUUACUUGUCAUGAGUACAGAAGCAAUUCCAGCACAGACAUCAUGAAACUAUGAAAAGUUAAAAUUUUUUAAAGGUUGACCUACAAAUGCACUCUUAAAUUUUAGAAAUUUCAGUAUCCUCCAGUAAAUAUAGAUGUCCAAGAGCAAACCUUGAAUGGAAUUUAACAACUUUUUUACAAGUUUAUUGAUUCUGUUUUAUAUGUUGCUAUUGCAAUGGGUUACGACAUUUUUCUGAGUGUCACUGUUCUCUUUAAUAAAUGUGUACAAUUUCUGCAAACUUAAAAAUAGAAGUAGUGUGCUUACUAAAGGAGAAAUACUCAAGAACAGAAGUAUUAAAUUCUUGAGUUGGCAAAAAAAUUUCCUAAACAGUUUUGAAAGUUUUCCCUCAUUUUAUUAUGAUCAAGAUUUUAUUUAAAUAAAACUUCUCUAUGAAUAGUGGUAUAGUAUCUUAUUUUGAAGGUAUCUGCUGAAAUGUUUAUUUUCAGUGAAGUUUGCCUUUAUUUUAGGGUUGAAGAUCAACUGGAUUAUGUAUUUCAUUCUGGAAACCCAAAGCAGUCCACAAACAGUAAAUUCUUCCUUAUGUUAUCUAUGUCAGGUAGGAAUUAAGUUUUUUGUUUCUACUUUAAGAAGGGUAAUACCAAGGCAAAGGGAGUGUAUUUCUUGUUCAAGGUGACUUGGAGGUAAAAGUUGGAGGUUUUGAUGUUAUAAAGGGCACUUUUUUUUUUAAGAAGAAUGAACAAUUAUUUGGUAUGAUAAGAGUUGUUGAGAUAUCUGAUUUUUCAGAUGCAGAUAAAGAUUACUGCUUUUUCUGAAGAUGCCUUCUCCCUUUAAAUGUUUAAAUGCAAGGUUUUUUUUUUUUUCAUUUUUAGGUAAAUGUUUAUUUUUAAAAAAAUUAAUACCUACAGAUUUUGUAUUGGAAUGAGUUAAUUCUGUGCUCUUAGAAAUUAAAGUAAGAAUUCAUGGUGUAUAGCAGGCACAGGAGUAGAUGUCAGAAGACUUGAACUCAUGAUGACUCAUGAAAUUGGUUUGUAGAAGACACUUACCCUCUAUACCUUAAUGUCUCCACCUUGUAAAAGGUGGAUAUUAAAGUUGGCUAUCCAGUGACCUCUUCAUAGCAAAGACCUAAUCAUUUAAACAUGCUUUGGACCUUCAUAGACAAAAAUUGCUAUGUAAAUACUUAAAUUUUUGCCUCUGACUUUAAAUUAUACAGUAGGAAUAUAUUGACUGCUUAAAUCCUUUUAAGAUCCAGUUGAAGCUUUAGAUUUUUUUUUUAUUUCAGAUUUCUGUAAAAAAUGUUGUAGACUACUAGCGAAUUAUGGACUAGCUUAGUUCAGUCAAUGUUUAUAUACAGUGAGACAGACACUGCAGCAUUCAGUAUGUAAAACAGAUAAUGCUCCUUGUUUUCCAGGAGUUAGUACUGAAAGGAACAAUAAAAGUUAUCUUUGGCUAUCUUUUUAAGUGUUGGUUGUCUUGUAUUUUCAUUUUGCUCUCUGUAAAUACAGACCCUUUAAGAGUAGGUGGGUGUGUGUUGGGGGUACUUAAGGAAUAGAAAGGAUAAAGACUUUGUUUUGAUUCUGGGUAUUGAGGAAAAACUACUCAAGGGUUUUGUGAAAUGUACAUGUGUUUAUUCAAAUAAAUGAGUGGAGAUGGGGCAUAUAGAUUUGAAGUGAAUAGCUUCUUGUUGUUGUUGUUUUGCAUACCCAGGAAAAAGGUUUAGGGAUGAAUAGGAAUGAGGAGCAGAGUAAUAAUAUGAGAAGAAAGCAUUCUUAAUGAAAUUAGUGGUUUUUUGAAACAAGUUGGUUUCAGCAUUUUAUUUUUAAGGAUUAGCAGGUUUUAACAGGUAUAUGCUUGGUUAUCAAAGGUAUACUAAAUUAAAAUAAAAAUUAGUCUUUUUUCUUAACAAAAAUAUAAUAGUGUUAGACAAAUUAUACCAUUAAAAGAUAUCUCCUACUUGAUUUUACGAAGUAUUAAUCAGGAAAUCAUUUUGAGAAAAAUUGUAGCAUAUUUCCUUUUAUGGAAUUACAUCUCUAUAUGUAGACCAUCCAGAAUAGUGUUUUUAAAUUAUGUUUGCCAAUAUAGAAGUCUACCAAUGGCAUUUUGGUACAUUUCUGUUAAGUUUUAUGAAAUGUCCUUUUACUAUAGUUCUUAAUUUAAACUAGAAUUAGCAUUUUUAUAUUGAAUCCCAUGAUGUUUCCUUAUGGGAUGAAAGUUCAUUAUUCAUGAUUGUUUUUUGAGUGGUGGUAACCAACAUGCAUUUUUCUUUUGCUGGGGGCGGGGUGUGGGUACUGGGGGUUGAACUCAGAGACACUGGGCCACUGAGCCACAUCCCCAGCUCUAUUUUGUAUUAUACUUAGAGACAGGGUCUCACUGAGUUGUUUAGUGCCUCACUUUUGUUGAGGCUGGCUUUGAACUCAUGAUCCUCUUGCUUUAAGCCUUCUGAGCUGCUGGGAUUAGGUGUUACUCUUUGAUGUUUUCAAAUUGCCAGUAAGUCAGGCUUACUUGGAAAUGUAUUGUCUGUAAAUGUCUAAGCAAUAAAGUCAGGGCAUAUUGGCAAUCACAAUUUAAGACCUUGGAAGCCUGUGUACCCUUUACCAUUAUUUUCAUAUUUUGGAAUUGAGAACCCCAGAUGUUUAGACUACCUUUGUCCUUACUCAGGUUUCCAUUAAGACAUGAAAUUGUUUUUCCCCCUCAGGUGAUUUAGUUUAAAAUGUAGGCUGCUACUAGUCCCUUUAUGUAAAAUUAAUAACUAUUUUGUUGACAUGUAAUAGCAACAUAAAAUGAAAAUGUGAUAGGCCCCAUUUUGGUAGAAGAAUUUUGAAAUGUUCUAAGAUUGUGAGCCAGGGAAAUGCUAGUGAAAUCAGUAGAAAAAUGUCUUUGAGUAGGUAGUUGAAAAAAAUCAUUGUUGGGCUGGGGUUGUUGCUCAGACUGUAAAGUACUUGCCUAGCAGGUGAGAGGCACUGAGUUCGAUCCUCAACACUACAUAAAAAUAAAUAAAGGUAUUGUGUCCAUCUAACACUAAAAAUAUUUUUUAAAAAAUAUUCAUUGUCUAUUUUCCCCCUGGUUUUCCCCAGCACAUUAAAAAGAUCUCAAUUGAAGCUAAUCCAAUAUUCAUUGUCUAUUUUUUCCCUAGUUAACCCAGCAUCUAAAAAGAUUGAAGCCAACCCUUCUUCUUUUAAGGUCUUCUAGCCUAUAAAUGAAAGUAUUUUCAAAUCAUGCAAUUGAAAUAAUAACUGUUUACUUGAGUUGCAUUAUUUUGAAUAGACAUUUCUUUGCAUGGAAUCCUAAAAACUACGAUAAAAAUCACAGUGUCAGCUAUUUAUUGAGUACCAUGAACCAAGGGCAAUGAUUAAUGCUUUAUGUAUAUUAGUUCUUUAAGCUUUAUCUUUUGAGUUAAGAAUCAUAAGUAUUAUUUGCAUUUGAAAAAAAUGAGGCUAGCUUAUAUCAUCUGAACUAGAAUUCAGAUCUGUCUAAUAUCAGACUUACUGGUAGACUUGAGAAAAUAUGGAAAAUAUGUCAAGAAAACAUUGUUUCUUAGAAUAUUUUUCAUGAAGUGGAUUAUAAUUCCUUUUUUCUGAUUCUGAGCUUUGUUUUCUGUUGAGAUAACCAAUAAGAGGAAAUAUUUUGAGUAUUGCUGGACAGAUCCUAGCAACAGAAGAUAGCUUGUGGUUCUUUCUAAGUUUCUCUUCCUGUUAAUGGAAAUAACUAUGUUUUGGUAAUUUUGAGAGGUAACUUUUAUUAAGUGUCACAUAAUGAGCAAUAAAAGUUUUUCCUCUUUUGCUUUACUUCAUUCUUACAUGUUAAGUGAACCAUGGAAAUACUCUCAGAGAUUACUAUGGUUCCUUUUGUAUUAUGUUUAAAAAUUGUUUUUUUUCCUAUUGGAUUUUUAUGGUAUUAACACAGUUAUCCAAUAUUGAGAAUGCUUACUUCUUAAUGUAGAUGUAAGUUCUAAAAUUGGUAACAGUGUAUUUGCCUUUCAGUAGACAGCUGUUUAAACAAAAAUUUUAAAGAAAUUGGAAGAGACAAUGCCAUUAAAACUAUAGUUUUGAUAUGUGUCUGUAAGUUGUGAGAAAUUAGGAUUUUAUAAUUUAGAAAUAGUGUUUAUUACAUGACAAAUUGAAUAUAGCUAUAAUUUUUUUGUCAUUAGUGUUGCAUUAUGACUUUAAUUUUUCUUUGGAUAGCCCUUUUUUUAUGGCUUGAUGGUCAUUAUAUCUACUUCCUAGAGUAGUUCAAGUGUGAAUUUUAGAAUUUUGCAAGUACAAAUAAAGACUAUUGAAUUUUUUGUCCUUUUUUAUUAUUUACUUACUGUAUGAGCUUGCAUGAAUUACAUAAACUUUAUGCUACUUAGUUUCCUCUCCUAUGAAAUGGAGUAAUAUUAGCUCUUUCAGAUUUUUAGGAGAAUUAAAUGAAGUAACAUACUAAAAGCUAUUGGUCUAAGAGUUGGUAGGCCAACAAGUUUGCUUUCUAUUUUAUAUUAGUAUUUGAUCUAUAUUUGGUAUUACCAGUAGAGAAACAUACAUCUUUUAAAAAUAUAAUUUGUAUAUCAAGCUGUUCUCAUUAUCUUUCCUUUGGAAGAACAACCUUCUGCCUCAGUCUCAGAAGAAUUUAGUAUUCUCUUCUUAAAUAUUUCUGUAAUUUAUGCAACAUAGCCUAUGGCUGGUGAAAUGAACUAUAUCCAAAGUUCAUUUUGGUACAUAAGGAGCAGCAACAAGUUUCUAGAAAGGUAUUUUUCCUUACUGUAUGUGUCCCCUUUACUGUAAUGAUUCUGAAAAGCUUAGUUUUGCUGUGUAUCACUUUUUAAGUGACAGCUAAGUGUGUUAUACAUGUGAAUGACUGUGGGGAAAAAAAAGUUAAAAGCCAUCUGAAUGGUGGUGAUUUUCAGAGUCAGGCACCUGACAGGUGGCUUGACCAUUUGCAGGAGCAUAUAAUCUAAUGACUGAGCAUAUUUAGCUCCCUCAGAAAGGAGCUUACAAGGAUGGGUAGGGUGUCAUGGCCUCAGCCAACCAAAAAAGGACCAAAAUAUAAAUUAAAAAGUAAGACUGUAGCUCAGUUAUUCAGACUAAACUAAUCAAUGCAGACUUAACCAACUUAAGUGGCCAGAAUUUACACCAGAUAUUUGCCCACUUAGGGUAUAUAGUUUUCAUAUCCUAUUUCCUACUACCGCAGGUUUGCCACCUUGUAAGUUACACAGUUACAGUCUUUUCAGGUUAGCUUAUAAUUUGACAAAAAUAAUUCUGUCAAAAAUAUAGCAGGAUUUUUGUUUGUCUCCAUUUAGUUCUGUGACAGUAAUUAGAUAUGUUUCAUAUGCCGCCUUUUUUCUUUUUUUUUUCUGUGCACAUAACGUGUUUUAAUGAAGCACAUCUUCAUCUCUCAUUUUAAUAACCACUGUCAUGAAAUUAUCUGAAACAGUAGGCAUUGGUGAGAUGGCAGCAUCCUUAAUCUAAAGUACAGCACUAGAUACUUUAUUUUGUUAAGAAGAAUUCCUUUGGGAAGAGUGCUAAUUGGAUGUUGGGUAUUGAAGCAGGUGACUGCAAGGCCCCACAUUUCUGCUGUCUUAUUUCUUUCCACCUUUGCCUAUCAGCUAGUCAAAUUCUUGCCUAUAUAAAUACAACAAAGAACCACCAACACAUCCAGUGUUGUGGCACUUUUCAUAUACUUUUCUGGUGGGUGUGGGUUUUUUGUGGACAUCUGUUUCUGCAGGUUAUUGUAGACAACAGUUUUGUCAAUUGUUUUGCUUCCACACAGUGGAUCACUAGUAUUCCAGUAGUGUGUUUCCACGUUGGCUGGUAUGAAAUGACUAAGCUGGUGCCAUAUAUUUAAGGAUUUUUGUUAUAGCAUUACUCUGAUUCUGAUAAUAAUUUCUGUGUUAAGGAAGAGGCCAAGUUGUAGUAAUUAGGAUCCCAAACUGAAAAUAGCUUAAAUUAGAAAGCUUAAAUAGUUAAAUGAGAAAAGUUUAUUUCUCUUUCACAUUGUUAUAUGAUUUAGGUGGUAGGAGUGGUAGGGGUAUGAAGAAAACUACCAAAAUAUUGGAUCUGAGACUCAAAUCCUAAGCCCAUAUUUUAACCAUUGUCCUAUACUUACAUAUAUUUAUUGCUUCCUGAUGGACAGGUGGCUUUUUGAGAUCAGGAACUGAGCUAUGCCUUGUAUCUAUUGCAAUUCCUAGCCUGUAGUUGGUGUUCUAUAAGUGUUUGGAUAUCUGUUUUAUAUCUGAGAAGCUAAGGCCUGGAGACUUGACCAAACUUGAGUCAGAAUCAGAAUCAGAACCAGAACCAGAGCAUGAUCUAAACCUUGCCCACAUGAAAGUGUGUGUGUGUGUAAUGAUAUCCUAGAUGUUUUUCCAUGAAAUGGGGAAUGACUUUUAUAAAGAUGGUACAUUGAUAAUUAUUAAUGACGCAAUUAUUAAAGUAGAAAAUAGCAGUUUGGAAGUUGGCAAAGUCAGUGCCUUUAUAGAGAAAAAGUUCUGUGUUAAGUAUUGUUUGAAAUGUGGGAAAAAAAAGUAUAGCAAAGUGAAGCAAUUUUUCUGUCAAAAUAUUUUAAAUAGCUCUUUUUAUGCGUACACACAUAUAUAGAUAUAAAGACAUACAUAUGGAAUUUUACAAAUUAGAGUUAUUUAAAAAUGAUGAGUUCUGUAUCUUAAGAAUUAAUGUUUCUAAAUCUUUGGUAUUAAUGAAGAUUGUUUCGAACCACUAAACUAAGAAAAUAAAGUAUCUUAUUAUUAUACUUUCAUUAUGCAUAAGUGAAUCCUUAAUAGAGUUGGUGUUGAUAUCAGUGAUACUAGUGAAACUAUAAUUUUUUCCAAGCCUUAUCAAGGACAUAGAUAUUUUAUAUAAAUUUAAAAUAUUAAUUAUUUUAGCAUAUACAGAUUUCUUUUAUGUCUGCUAUUUUGUUUGAGAUCUUAUUGUUUGUCUCUCAUAGGGGGAACAAUAUAUUUGUAACAAGAAGCAAUAACUGGAAGUAAUAAUGUUAAAAUGAAGUUUUGAUCAGCAGAGGUAAGGAUAUGACAUUUCUUUUACACUUAAUUCAUGAUAGAUUUGAAUGUUUGCUAAAUUUUAAGGAAGCACUAUUUCAAGAACCAUGAAGGAUCUGAGAUUUUACCCUACUUGCAAGCUAGCAAGGUAGCCUGCCAUGGUGCUAUGGAUUUUAGCAGAAGACCUGAAAUUCAUGGAUCAAAAACAAAGAUGGUUUACACUUAAAGCAGUACCUUAAGUACCAGUUGAUACCUGCAUAUAAGUAGGUUAUUUCACAGGAGAGGAACCCUGAACAAAGAGAACCUAAUCUGUUAUAUGGACAAUAAAUCCAUCUGACUUUUGCCUUGAAGGGAGACUUUAUUUUUAUUAUAUGGGACAGUAAACAGAUCUUCCCUUUGUUUUAGUAUAAGACACUGUGUCUGAGUUUUAAGACCAUAUACAUACAUCUGUAUAAACUGCAUAUAAAAAAUAGUCUGGAACAAAGGCUGUCAGCAUUUCUAUGAGUAAGGCAUGCAGAAAUACAAAAAAAAUUAUACAGAAUUGUCUACCAAUAUUUUUUACCUUAAUUUGCUGAAAAAUAUGUCUAUUGAUGAGAACAAUUGCUACUUUUUUUCUCUGAAAUACUGAAAAGAUUGAACUGAAGUACCCAAUAGUGGGUGAGUGUCUAAACUAUAAUAUGUUCACAGUUACAUAAUAAUUAUAACUAAAAAUAAUGUUGUACAGUUACAUUUAUUGACUUAUAUGUCCAUCAGAAAAUUAAGUGAGAUAAGUAGAUUAUAAAGUGUACAUGUGAUUUGAUUCCAUUUCUAUAAAUAUUGUACUAAUUAUACUAAUGUGCAACAUUAGAAUGUGUACCAACCAUAUAUAGAUAUAUAUAUAUAUAUAUAUAUAUAUACACUAAUGGAUGGAAUUGUUUUGGUCCUCUGUUAUUUUUUUUUAACCUUUGAAAACGAAUACUUUAGUCUUUUAUAAUGAAGAAAAAAGUUUUUCUUUCUUUAAAAAUAGUCACUGAAGAACUCUUUUUUUUUUCACUUAACAGAGAAAAGCCUUUCAUGGAUUUAAAUGGGGAUUUAAAAAAAUUCUCAUUUUGACUGGUAUAUUACCAUUAUGUGUAAAGUAAGACUACAUAAUAAUUAGGUGGCUUAAAUUUUUUUUAAAAAUCUUAUUUUUGAGAUAAAAUCAAGAAUUUGUUUUAGUAAUGUAUUGUAUUCAUUCUCACACAAAUAUCAUUAAGGGAAACAUCUUAGGAAAACAUUUUAAGAGGACAAAUCUUAAAUUAUAGAAAGUAGUGCUAUUUGAUGAGUAUAGAUUUUUGGUGUCUUUAGUUGGGUUAGGCUAAGUUGGGCACACUAAACUAGUUUGCUGCUUUUUUUUUUUUUUUUUUUUUUUGUACUAGGGAUUGAACCCAGGGGCACUUAACCACUGAACCAUAUUCCAACCCUUUUUUAUUUUUAUUUUCAGACAGAGUCUCAAUAAGUUGCUUAGGACCUCACUAAGUUGCUGAGACUGGCUUUGAACUUGGCUGCCUCAGCCUCCCAAGUUGCUGGUAUUACAGGAGUGAGCCACCACACCUAGCAGUGUGUUUCAUUUUUAAUUUCUCCUUAUGUAUCAUAUUCUGAAAUUUGUUUAAAUUAUUCCAUUUUUUAUAAAUUGGAAGUUUUAUUGUACUACUCAUGAUAUUUUUCUCCCCUUCUUUAACUAAGGUGCUGUUUCCAGGUUUAUCUUCUGGGUAUAAAUUAAAAAUGACUGAAGUUCAAGCAAUGGUAGAAUUUUCCGUAGAGCUAAAUAAGUUCUACAAUGUGGAUUUAUUCCAGAGAGGGUAUGUAUUUUAAUGUUAAAAUUAUGUACUUUGCAUAAGAU
rnacentral:lncRNA from 1 species